UUUUUAGAUAAGUUACUUCUAAACAUUACCCCAAAAUAUUAAAUCAUAUUUUUGAUAAAUAAAGUCUGUAUCUUGGCGGGCGGUAAAUCAACAAUUUGAGCGUAACAAGUAGCGCCGCUGCAUAGUGUCGACGGGAACUAACUUGCAACUAUAAUCAUCUAUACACCAUAAUGUAAAAAAGUUGCGCUUAGGUAAAGAAGACUCUUAACUUUUACAUAUUUUUUGUAGUUCAAUAAUUUCUAAUGUGAUUUUCAAAGCCUGUCAGUAAUUCGUAGGCCGUUAAAAAAGCACCAAUUCUAAUUAUAAAACAUUUAUCCCAAACAAAACAAAACAAAAACUCUUCGUUUGUUCGUUCGUAUAUUUUUAGGUUGUAGCCUUAACAGUCUCUUGAAAAUGCUCCGACAACGAAUUUUAAAUAUGUGCGUUAAUAAAUCCACAAUCUUCCACCCACGCACUAAUGGUCUACCCUGUACAUAAUAGAUUUUACUGAUUUUAGUAUUUUUGAAUUUUAUUUCAUUUCUUCAAACUUUUUCCCUGAUUUUGAAGUUUAUGUUCGAUCAUUCCUUGUUGCUUCCAAUUUUGAAUCACAGUCAACAUUUGUAAUGUAAAAUCAAGCUAACAGAAUGAUAGGUACUAAAAUAUAACAAAUCUAGCAAACGGCAUAUCUUAUGCAAAAAAGCGAAGGGCGUAGCAUUGGAGAUUUAUCCAUUUAUCUAAUCUAAGGUUUGAUAUCGACUGUAUAAAGUGGAUGACUCAAAAUAAUAUUUCGACCAACCAGGAUAUACUAAAAAUACUAAAGUAAACGGGUUACCAAAUAACCUAUAUACACAAAGUACACAAAACGAAAUGUUGUUGUCCUUAGCUUAAUAUAAUUAAUAUUAUCAAUGAUUGCUUAAACUGCAAAAUACUUCUAACCACAGAUUAGCGAUACAAGUACUUAAUCACCUUAGAUAAGCCAUAUACAUGGUAUUUCUUAUCUGUAGCCCUAAACUGUAAGUAAAAUGUUUAUCUAAAGAUCACAAAGUAAUUUCACAUGCUGCUUACAUAGUAAUAUCAAGAAUGGGAUUCAAAUUCAAAAGAUUUAGCGGAAAACUCAUUUGGAAGAAAAAGCAAUUUACCCCCGAAAUGGUCUGUUUGCGAUACUUUAGCCAGUCUGAAUUCACUGAGCCACUAUCGCCCCCAAAGACAGAAACAAAAGAUUGGACUGACAGCAUCCCCGUCUUCACUACCUUAACGCCACAAACAAGUCAGUUGAUUGCGUAUGAAACCAAUGGAGAAACCCAAAAGCUGAAAGGAAUUUUAAAAAAGGCAGCUCCAAAUGUCAGCCUAGAGGAAUUAAAUGAAUAUAGCAUCAUUGAUGAAGAAGAUAACAGUUCUCCGUUAAUACUUGCGACUCAAAGUCAAAGUAAUGAUGAGAAAAGAAAUGUUAAUUGGCAAAACAUAGACGAUGAAUCACCUUUAAGUAAUAGAACAGUCUCAAAUGCUGUAGCCUCUUCAACCGACAAUGUUGGAAAUGCAAAUGAUUCUGGGAAAGCAUACAGCAGUCAAGCAUCAAGUAUCUUUUUUGAGGAAAAACCUCCCAUACCGCGUCCAAGGCUUAGAAUUCCCAGUAAAGAUUGAAUAAAAUGUGGAUUCAAAGAAGAGCCUUUUACAAAAAGCAUGUGCGCAUUAGCUAGUAAGUAUCGGGUGGCUACAUUAUAAUGGUGGUUACAUCUUAGGCAGUAAUAUAGAACUUUCAGGUAAACUUCUUUUUAUCUAAUUGUGGUCAAGACAAAAUGCUGGGAAUUAUUUUUAGUCUCAUGCUACAAUCGAAACAUGCACUCCAAAAUAAUACUAAUACGAAUAUAGUACGAAAUUGACCCCUGGUAUUGAAGUUAAUUACAUUUUAUGGUUUAGGUAUGUUGAAUUAGCUUAAAAAAUCGUUAAUAUCUAUAAUUUGAACUUUUGUUUUUGAGAAGGAGUAGACAAAAUUGUGCUGAGAAUAAUGAAACAUUUGAUACAUUUGUUUUGAUUUAAUCGCUAUCCUUUCAGCAAACCAAUUGUUAGACUAGCAGAAAAUGCAAAUGUAAAUUUUUACUGAAACGCUAUUACGUGGUAAAAUAUACCCACCCGCCAUUCUUAUUUGGCCAUCCGGUAAAUUAUUAAAAAAAUUAAAUAUAAAAUAAAUAAAUAGAAAAUUCGUACCUGUGCAGCUUUGCCAAUGGAAAAUGUAAACAAAGCUUUUGGUGCAAUUCGCAAAAUUCUUUAUAUGUGCGCAGCACAUCUAAGUGCUGUCCUUGGUUUUCUCGCUCCACCCUAAGUAUGUAAACAUAAUAUUUAUCAGGAUCAUACCUCUUUCUAAACCCUAUCACCGAAACGUGGACCAAUUUUCCAUCUGUAGCCAUGCUAAAGAACAUAAAUGUUACUUUCAACAGGACAGAAAACAUUUUACCAUUUACCUAUAAGUUUUUGGUACAAAUGACAAAAGCUGGUUAUCACCAUGAUCACCGGUAAAUUUGAGUUGAGCCAAAUUAUGUAGGAAGAAGUUCACCUGCGUAAACCAUGAUUUGAGCGAACUCUCAAUAAGUCGGGCGAAAUAGGCAGCUGCCUCAGGAUUUGAGAGGCCCGGUAGUAGAGCUUUGUGCAGGUUGCUUACUGCCUCCGUAGUCACCCCUCGAAUACCCGAAGAAGCCAUCUAAACUGAACCGAUCAAGGCAAUUCGUUUCAAAGCUGUGCUACUUACCAAAGUAAAUAAAUGCAAAAAUAGAUUGCCAUUAUUCCUAACUAUAUUAAACGCUUGACAGCAGAGGUCUACAAAUUUGUGAAACUUUUCCGAUGGUCUAUCACAACCAUUUAUCACAUAUGCCAUGUCGGAAGUUAACACAAAUGGACUACGAUCUCUGCAACAUUAAAUGUAAUGAUUUUCAAAUUGGCACAGGUGACCGUUUACCGUUUAAAGUUUCCAAACAUUUGAGCAUCUCCUAGAAAUUUUCCAAAAUCUAUGUGGAACAAAUGACCGGAAGUUUUGAGCAUAAUGUUGUCAUUAUGCCGAUCUCCCACACCCAAAACAUAAGUCACAACGCAAUAUCCGGCACAAGAAGCUGGAGAAAACAAAGUUAGUAAAAGUUCAUUACAUAACUAAAAAUAAACCUGUGAAAUUCUCAACGGCGCGUCCAUACUCCAACUCCGACGGAUUAUGUUUUGCAAGCCACUCGGCUAUGGGUUUAUCCUUAAAUGAACCGGUUAAACCGUGCUCCACUUGAAUUUUUCGCAACGUCUCCGCUUUGGUAACCAUUUCAAUCAUUCCUCGUUUGUUUCCGGUAGGAAUACAUAAAAACGUUACCAUUUUCAAAUCUAAACCUUGCCGCAGCCACAUCUUAUCCAUAAUGCGCACAAUUUGCAAUGUUAAUUGAUCUUGCUGCAAAUCAUCGCCGACCUAAUGUUUAACAAAGUAAUUAAAAGUUUGUAUAGCUUACAGAUCACUUACUUUGUAAAUCGCGGGUAUUACCGAACCAUCACGGGCUAAGAAAUUGAUUUUUAAUGGAAGGGUGUUGGAUGGAAAAUAGGAACAGCUCCGAACUUGUAUGCCUGAUACUUGAAGUGUAGGUGAUAAUGGUAGACUAGUUGAAUUGUCAACUAAAUUUUGGUGAACAU